rnacentral:rRNA from 1 species
AGAACGAACGCUGGCGGCAUGCCUAAUACAUGCAAGUCGAACGAACACUUCGGUGUUAGUGGCGCACGGGUGCGUAACGCGUGGGAAUCUGCCCUUGGGUUCGGAAUAACAGUUGGAAACGACUGCUAAUACCGGAUGAUGACGAAAGUCCAAAGAUUUAUCGCCCAGGGAUGAGCCCGCGUAGGAUUAGCUAGUUGGUGAGGUAAAGGCUCACCAAGGCGACGAUCCUUAGCUGGUCUGAGAGGAUGAUCAGCCACACUGGGACUGAGACACGGCCCAGACUCCGUACGGGAGGCAGCAGUAGGGAAUAGUUGGACAAGU